GACGAACGCUGGCGGCGUGCUUAACACAUGCAAGUCGAGCGGUAAGGCCUUUCGGGGUACACGAGCGGCGAACGGGUGAGUAACACGUGGGUGAUCUGCCCUGCACUUCGGGAUAAGCCUGGGAAACUGGGUCUAAUACCGGAUAUGACCUCCUAUCGCAUGGUGGGUGGUGGAAAGAUUUAUCGGUGCAGGAUGGGCCCGCGGCCUAUCAGCUUGUUGGUGGGGUAAUGGCCUACCAAGGCGACGACGGGUAGCCGACCUGAGAGGGUGACCGGCCACGCUGGGACUGAGACACGGCCCAGACUCCUACGGGAGGCAGCAGUGGGGAAUAUUGCACAAUGGGCGAAAGCCUGAUGCAGCGACGCCGCGUGAGGGAUGACGGCCUUCGGGUUGUAAACCUCUUUCAGCAGGGACGAAGCGCAAGUGACGGUACCUGCAGAAGAAGCACCGGCUAACUACGUGCCAGCAGCCGCGGUAAUACGUAGGGUGCAAGCGUUGUCCGGAAUUACUGGGCGUAAAGAGUUCGUAGGCGGUUUGUCGCGUCGUUUGUGAAAACCAGCAGCUCAACUGCUGGCUUGCAGGCGAUACGGGCAGACUUGAGUACUGCAGGGGAGACUGGAAUUCCCGGUGUAGCGGUGAAAUGCGCAGAUAUCAGGAGGAACACCGGUGGCGAAGGCGGGUCUCUGGGCAGUAACUGACGCUGAGGAACGAAAGCGUGCGUAGCGAACA
rnacentral:rRNA from 1 species